rnacentral:rRNA from 1 species
GACGAACGCUGGCGGCGUGCUUAACACAUGCAAGUCGAACGGAAAGGCCCUGCUUUUGUGGGGUGCUCGAGUGGCGAACGGGUGAGUAACACGUGAGUAACCUGCCCUUGACUUUGGGAUAACUUCAGGAAACUGGGGCUAAUACCGGAUAGGAGCUCCUGCUGCAUGGUGGGGGUUGGAAAGUUUCGGCGGUUGGGGAUGGACUCGCGGCUUAUCAGCUUGUUGGUGGGGUAGUGGCUUACCAAGGCUUUGACGGGUAGCCGGCCUGAGAGGGUGACCGGCAACAUUGGGACGGGGUUACGGCCCAGACUCCUACGGGAGGCAGCAGUGGGGAAUAUGGCACAAGGGGCGGAAGCCUGAUGCAGCAACGCCGCGUGCGGGAGGACGGCCUUCGGGUGGUAAACCGCUUUCGCCUGUGACGAAGCGUGAGUGACGGUAAUGGGGAAAGAAGCACCGGCGAACUACGU